rnacentral:rRNA from 1 species
GAUGAACGCUGGCGGCGUGCCUAAUACAUGCAAGUCGAGCGAACGGACGAGAAGCUUGCUUCUCUGAUGUUAGCGGCGGACGGGUGAGUAACACGUGGAUAACCUACCUAUAAGACUGGGAUAACUUCGGGAAACCGGAGCUAAUACCGGAUGAUAUUUUGAACCGCAUGGUUCAAAAGUGAAAGACGGUCUUGCUGUCACUUAUAGAUGGAUCCGUGCUGCAUUAGCUAGUUGGUAAGGUAACGGCUUACCAAGGCAACGAUGCAUAGCCGACCUGAGAGGGUGAUCGGCCACACUGGAACUGAGACACGGUCCAGACUCCUACGGGAGGCAGCAGUAGGGAAUCUUCCGCAAUGGGCGAAAGCCUGACGGAGCAACGCCGCGUGAGUGAUGAAGGUCUUCGGAUCGUAAAACUCUGUUAUUAGGGAAGAACAUAUGAGUAAGUAACUGUGCACAUCUUGACGGUACCUAAUCAGAAAGCCACGGCUAACUACGUG